rnacentral:lncRNA from 1 species
UCCAACUCGAACUCUGCAGACUGGGCAAUUUAAAACGAAGGGCCCAGGGGAAAACAUUUAAUAACGUUAGAGUGAGUGGACAAAAAUAAAUUAAUAAAUAAAAUAUUUAUGUUUCCCCAAAUUAAUUUCUAAGGAAAAAUCGAAUGCAUGCCGCAAGCGAUAAAACCUUUAUCCCAUAAAAUAUCGAGCCUCUCAGACUCUAUAAUAUAUGUAUGUAUUUACACUCGUCCAUACUCCCUAUAUAAAUUCAUGGGUCUAUAUAGGGCUACUACGCUCGCGUCCAACGCUCACGUCACGCCUUAAUGCGGUGCUACACUACGCCAUCAAGGUGGACAGACGGGUGUAUAAAUAUGUGCCCAUACCCCCUAUAUGAAUUAAACACUCAUAUAGGGCUACUACGCUUACGUCCAACGCUCACGUCACACCAUAACGCGGCUAUAUGCUACGCCAUUAAGGUGGACAGACACAUAUGGCUAGCUAGCAUUUAUAUACAUACUCUCUCAUAAAUACAUAUUUAUAUCCACCGAAAAUCCCAUUUUCGGUAGCUCUCCAAGAGAAAAUAAAAAUCGUCAAAUUAAAAUAGACGUUAAAAUAUUCCGCAAUAUUAAUUGUUCAACCAUGAACUAUAGCAUGCAUUUAUUUAAAAUAAACGUCCACUCACGAAUUAGGCCUAAGCCUGAUGUCAAUCUGGGGUCUCGUCUGCUCGAGCCUCUUCACGUCCUGUUCCAAAUAUAAUAUUAAUUUCCCAACCAAUAUCCAAUAUUUAAUCAAAAUAGGCAAAAUUACCCGAGAGCCAUAAUUACGCUCAUUAUUGCCUAACUUCGAUAUUCUUACAUCGGAACGAUCCGAACUUAAAUAUCAUACUCAAUAGUCGUAAAUACAACCUCCCCAAAAUACGACUUAAAUCCAACGGCCGGAUUCUACAUUAAUUACCCGCCAAAAAUACCACACUUCGGAAAUUCACAAACCUAUCCAAAUCUCAUCCAAAAAUUCCAAAAUUCACUUCAAUAAUAUCCCCUUAAUAUUCUACAUCAAAAAC